rfam:Schistosoma curassoni strain Dakar, Senegal genome assembly, scaffold: SCTD_scaffold0005067
AUUCAGAUGACGAGUCUCAAACAGGAUGAAAUGCGUAUGCUAGAU